GAAAGCUGCCUUUCAGGCAUCCUCUCCUAAAACUUUCACGGGCUGGUCUUCGGAUCGGUCCGUUUUUUUUAGUGCC
rnacentral:sRNA from 1 species